CAUUUUGAUUUUUCUUAAAUAGGCCCGUAUAUUUUCACUGUAUUUUCUUAUUUAUUAUCAAUAUUUGAGCGUUUUAAUGGUGUUUUUCGUGCUUAGCUUUUAAAUUUACCCUAUGUACAUCUAUUUCCAGUCAUUUUGUUUUAAUUUUGUUACCAGUUUUCUUUCUCUCUCUUCCCUAUAGGAACUGUCAAAAUGGUGAUAUUUCCUUCAGUAACCUGCUUUCUUCCCAUCAAAACACCCCUAUUUUCUUUGUAAAAUAUCAAUUAUGGGGUAGGGCUUGGGACCCUUUUUCUGAAGAAAUUACCAGUAUUAUUGGUUAUCAGUGGAAUUUUCUUCAUCGUUAACUAUGAAGGCUGGAAAAAGAACAUAGUAGCUAGGUGCAACAGGUGACAGUAUUACCAAAGGAGCCGGGAUUGGUACAACACUUAACAUGGAACAUGGAAACCUGUUUGAAGAUAUUAUACUGGGAUCAAAUGAUGCAGAGACAAGUAGGCCCUAAAUCUCCAGCUGCAUUGGCUUUCAACAGUCAACGUAACAGCCAUGCUGAAGAAAAACUGGAUGUUAUUGAACGUGAAGCAAAAGAAGACAACAGAAAGCAUGCAGCAAAAGUUGCUGAAGAAGUUGCUACUAUGAUUUCACGAGUACCAGAGUAUGUUUUUGAUGCAUAUGAAGACGGAUGUCAAGAAUUGAAGCCGAUAAAAAAAAGCAAGAAUCCGAAUGGAGUAAACGAGUUACGAUAGACACCGAAACCUGGAAUGAAUUUACCCCUAGACUUUUGGACGCAUUUGUGUCGGCCUGAGCUUGUGACGCCGAGCGAUGCGAUAAUUGUAAGCAGGAGCUUACAAUCAUUAUUCGUUGUUUUGAUGACUGCAAGAGUCACCUUUGCCCGGACUGUGAUGUUAAAAUUCAUUCAACCAGACCUUUCCACGACCGAAAGCUGUUCUUAAAUGAGUUUGAGUCCCGCCCACUAUUGACUCACGAGUUUUAUGGAGUUGAAAAUCGACCACUCAAUAUUGGAAUGCGCGUUUUUGUGCCAGUAAGCUGCAGAACUGAGAAGUGCAAGAAACUUGGAACGAAAGGUACAUUGGUACUUGUUGCUGGAACCAAUUACUGUACUGUGAUCUCGGGAGAAGGUCGAUUUGAUCUACACUGCGCUGCGUUUAAGUGUUCCCGUUGUGAUGGCGUAAUGAACGCGGAACUUGAGGACUACAUUGGCUCGGGGUAUUGGCCUGGAAAUCCCAAAACACUUGGAAUUUUCUUUACGACUUCAUUUCUGAAGCUGUAUUUCCACCUCAAGAAUUACCUACCAGGCUCAUCUGAAUAUGGCCUUCUAAAGGCAUUGGGUGCAUUUUCAGCUGAUGCAGGACGGGUAUUUUUCAUGAACCAACGAGCACGGAUUCGACGAGUCAAGUGCAUCGCUGACGAUCGUCAUGAAACCUGAAAUGAGCCACGAACCCGAAAUCAAAGUUGAAUACUACGAAGAGACCAACAUCGAAGUUAAAGUCACCGCCCAUCCCAAAUCUAAAGUGAAAUGGUUGAAGGACGGCAUUCAAAUCAAGUCCACCACUAGCGAACGCAUCAGCAUCAGCGAGGAAGCUUCCAACGUUUUUUUUCAAACAAACUUUCUGUCCACUCGGAGGCUCCUACCUUCUCUACGAAACCCAAAAGCUGUUACGCCAGAGCUGGACAGACGGCCAAGUUUGAAGGUUGCGUCCAGGGUAUACCUCUGACCGUCAUUUCGUGGCAAAAGGCGGACGAAGUCAUUGUCGAAUCGGAACGAUUCAAAAUGGAGAGCGCUGAGGACGGAACGUUUGGUAAUGCAAUUGUAUUAUUUCAUUUAUAAUUAAAUUUUUUCAGCACAACUUCAUAACGAAAGGGAAGCUUCCGUAUUCGACAACCAUUGAACUCCAACAAGCUCCUGUCAUAGCUAAAUUUUAUAGAUGUU